ensembl:lncRNA novel transcript
CAAAAGUGUUUAACUCACAUGAGGAAUCACUGAAAUUAUGGUUUGUGUUAUGUGGCUCGAGCAUGCAUGUGUAUUUCAUUUCUACCAUAACAGCGACAAUGCUGCUGAAAAGUAGCUCAACUGUUUGUAUUUUACUUCUUGCUACAUGCACGUGCGCCAGCACCCUCUUAUCUUCAGCUGACUAAUGAGGGAGAAAGCACUGAAGGACAGGAACUCUGGGUUGCCCUGUCCUCAUCUUUCCUCGUAUGUCAUCAUUUUCAAAGUUCGUGGUUGUCGAAUACUGGAAGUAGCCCAGAUCGUGUGUGGCUUUGUACGGCUUCCAUAUGCCCCUCCUUCUGUGGUAGAGCACGAUUACCUUCUACUCGCCUUCAGUGUCGCUGAACUGCACCGGAAUCCACUGGAAUUCUGUAUGCAUGGGCCUUGGGAGCGUGAAUGGAGCAGCAAGGAACGGGGACACAUAUAUCACCUGUGUCUCUGCACAUGCACACGGUUUGUGGCUCCGUCGGACUUCACUUACAAAACCCAAGUUCAAAGAUCAAAUUAUGAAGCAUUUCAAGAUGGCAACAGAUGAGAAUCAGACAAGCAUAGAGUCCUUCUGAGCUUAGAGCCUUACGUGACCACAAGGGCCACAUAUCCAGGAAGCUGGCCCUGCUUUUGAACUGGAAAAGUUCUGAUCAAUUUUCUUCUAUCAGUUAUUUAAUUAUUUUCCUCCCUCAAGUCUCUCUGUUCUCUCCUCCUGGAACUCCUAGUAAAUACAUAAAGAAACGUCUAGC